AAGGGCACCACAAGAACGCGUGGAGCAUGUGGCUUAAUUUGACUCAACGCGGGAAAGCUUAUCGGGUCCGGACACACUGAGGAUUGACAGGCGAGAUAUAUUCGUAUAUCGCUACAUUUGUAAGUCCUUUCAUGAUUGUGUGAUAGGUGGUGCAUGGCCGUUCUUAGUUCGUGGAGUGAUCUGUCUGCUUAAUUGCGUUUCAGAUAAAAGGCACUACACUGCGAGGUGUCUUAUAUACUUGUUAUAUUUGCGCGCUGAGCGGGUAUGCCUUUGAAAGCAACGAACGUGACCUCAGCUCGAUGUUAUGUACAUUAUAAGUACAAGUAACCUUCGAGGACUGCCAUGGUGUAAACCAGGAGGAAGGUUGAGGCAAUAACAGGUCUGUGAUGCCCUUAGAUGUUCCGGGCUGCACACGUGCUACAAUGAUUGUUGCAGAAAGUAUCUGCAUAAGCAAGCCACUAUAGGUUUAUUCUUAUAGGCUAGGCUUCAGUAUACUCUUUAUUGAGUAAACAAAAGACCUAUCUCGAAAGUUCGAUAGGCAAUCAAUUCCAAGUGGUAAUCUCUCACAUACCCUGCACAAGUCCAAGCAAGAGUGUAGCAAUCACGUAUUUUUAUACGCCGUUUGACUCGCCUUGCUGUGCUCUGUAAAUUCAUGGUCGGGACAGACCAUUGAAUAAUUGUUGGUCUCGGUCUCAACUAGGAAUGCCUUGUACGGGUCUCUGGUUCAACAAACCACCCGGAAUACGUCCCUGCCCUUUGUACACACCGCCCGUCGCUCUUACCGAUGGACUUCUCUGUGAGUUCGAGGGACUGGCAUUAUGCGUUGUCAAAGACGUAGCUAUGGAAACUCGAACGAACAGUGUGGUCUAAAGGAAAGAGAAGUCGAACAAGGCA
rnacentral:rRNA from 1 species